CUACGUGCCAGCAGCCGCGGUAAUACGGAAGGUCCGGGCGUUAUCCGGAUUUAUUGGGUUUAAAGGGAGCGUAGGCCGGGGAUUAAGUGUGUUGUGAAAUGUAGGCGCCCAACGUCUGACUUGCAGCGCAUACUGGUUCCCUUGGGUACGCGCAACGCCGGCGGAAUUCGUCGUGUAGCGGUGAAAUGCUUAGAUAUGACGAAGAACCCCGAUUGCGAAGGCAGCCGGCGGGAGCGCAACUGACGCUGAAGCUCGAAGGUGCGGGUAUCGAACAGGAUUAGAUACCCUGGUAGUCCGCACGGUAAACGAUGGAUGCCCGCUGUCGGCGCCUUGCGCCGGCGGCCAAGCGAAAGCGUUAAGCAUCCGCCUGGGGAGUACGGCCGCAAGGCUGAAACUCAAAGGAAUUGACGGGGACCCGCACAAGCGGUGGAGCAUGUGGUUUAAUUCGACGCAACGCGAGGAACCUUACCAGAUCUUGACAUCCUG
rnacentral:rRNA from 1 species